rnacentral:ncRNA from 1 species
AAACUGGCAUUGAUGGAAACGAGUACACGUUCCGCUGGCUAACAGCGAUCCCGGGUGGGUGGGAGCCGGGAAGUCAUGACCGUUGAAAAUCCUUCCGGAGUCGCAAUCUGAACCUCCAGUACGGAAAAGUAAGUGCGCCAGAGUCACCCUCUGUUAUCAAAGUGCGGUUAUCUCAACAAUUGAUGAAACCGGAUGAGGUGCCCAUAUGAUUAUGGGAACCAGGGUGGUACCGCGAGUACACUGCUCGUCCCUGAU